rnacentral:misc_RNA from 1 species
AACCUAGCACACCUGCGGUGUGUACCUGCGGAGGGAUCAUUAAAAAGAGUGUGUACCCCUCUGUAAAAUGAGUGGGUUACCUCCCGUCCUUUGUUGACCUCUUAGGAGGUUAUUUUGAACUUUCUGCUUCGGUGGGGUUAAACCUACCGGAACACCCUCAAAUUCUUAUCAUUUAAAAAUUGUUCAGUCUGAUUUUUGUUAAUAAAAACAAAAAACUUUCAGCAACGGAUCUCAGAUCGG